UACGAAGGGGGCUAGCGUUGCUCGGAAUCACUGGGCGUAAAGGGUGCGUAGGCGGGUUCUUAAGUCAGAGGUGAAAUCCUGGAGCUCAACUCCAGAACUGCCUUUGAUACUGAGAGUCUUGAGUCCGGAAGAGGAGAGUGGAAUUCCCGGUGUAGCGGUGAAAUGCGCAGAUAUCGGGAAGAACACCGUGGCUAAGGCGCUCUCUAGUACGGUACUGACGCUGAGACGCGAAAGCGUGGGAGCGAACAGG
rnacentral:rRNA from 1 species